GACCAGCUCCUUCUCAGCAUGAACAGCCCUGCCUCUGCCCGCCGCUGCCUCCCCGCUGUGCCUGAGCAGCAGCAACUCCCAGCCCCAGGCAGCAGCAGCAGCAGUUCGGGAAAGCCGCGCUGACGUCAAGCCCCGGCAGCAAGGAGAAGUGGCUGGAACUUUGCAAGCAGCUGUCACUUAAAGGGGCAACCUGAAGGGCGUUACUAGGAGUGGGCAUUAUGCCUAUUCCUGCCUGGUGUCAUGCCUCCAGCCACCAUCUCCCCGAACUACCCCACAGCCUCCAAGGUGCUCUGGCUCCAGAAGCAUUAUAGAAGCUCCCCGACUCCCGGAACGGAACGCUUGCGUAAAUUGAAUUUUGCGCAAAGAACGAAGUGCAAUUGAAAUUUGGAUCAUAAUUCUGGACAAAAAGGAACUACAGAAACUCCAUAGCCUUCAUGGAUGAGUGAAUUAUACAUCCUGAAUGCCCUGCUAAUAAGAUGCCUGGUCCUGUGGUGCUUUGGCAGGCUCUUGCUCAAGUUAGUGGGAGUAGCGCCUGUGUAUAGAUUUGCUGGGUCAGGCCUGAAGAGCAGUUUAUCAUUCAGUAAAAGUCCCAAAUGAUAAAUAUGCUACAGAGUUUAGCACUGUAAUAAAUUAUAGAAAUUAUCAGUGAUUAUGUUGUAUCCCAACAAAUGACAACAAAGUUGUAGAUUAUAAUGCAACAACAUUUACUGCCCAAUUCUUUUAUUGCUAGCACAAGUAUGUUUAUAUCACAUUAUAUUAUAAUAAAACAUUUGGAGCCCAUUUAUGUAAGUAACUUUACUCUCAGAAGUAAUCCCUUGAGUUCAAUGGGACUGGUCAUGUGAGUAAAGCCACUUGGGUGGGAGUCUGCAGGAUCAGGAACCUAAGUAGUGUUGUAAAUUUAUAUAACACUUUAUACAUUUCUAUUAGUAUUAUAGAUUAGUUAGUUGCACUGCUGGGACUGAAAUGAGAAUAAACUAGCAUGUACAUUUAAUUUUGAGAAAAACACUGAGACUUUCCUUGUAGAGUACAUAGUUACUGAUUGUUCUAAAAGUAGGAAUGGUUAUACACUUUGCUAUAGCUACAUUUUAUUGUGUUUGGAGUUCCAAAGGAAUGUUCAGCAAUAGAUCUGAUGUUAACUAAUCAAGAACAGUUUGGGAAGUUUGCUACACAAGGACUGUGGGAGUUUUGAUUUUUAAUGGUUUGUGUGUUCUCAUGUUCCAAAAGCGUUUACAAAGGUUGUUGUAAAGUAAGCUCUUGUGUAUUGUGACUGCAUGAAUUUGCCUGAAUUAUUCCCUUCUUGGUCUAUGUGAGUUUAUGUUGUAAAAACUGAUGUGUUCUCAGGGUCCAAAAGCAUUUAUAAAAUGGGGAGGCUGCUAGGUAAGAGAUUCAAAUCCAAGACCCCUAUGGUAGCAUUCUCUGA